rnacentral:rRNA from 1 species
UACGGGGGGAGCAAGCGUUGUUCGGAUUUACUGGGCGUAAAGGGCGCGUAGGCGGCCUCUGCAAGUCGACUGUGAAAUCUCCGGGCUUAACCCGGAAAGGUCAGCCGAUACUGCAGGGCUAGAGUGCAGAAGGGGCAACUGGAAUUCUCGGUGUAGCGGUGAAAUGCGUAGAUAUCAGGAGGAACACCGGUGGCGAAGGCGGGACUCUGGGCCGAUACUGACGCUGGAGGAGCGAAAGCGUGGGGAGCAAACAGG